GGCGGGGCCUGUGCCGGGGAGCUAAUCAGUGCUCCCUCCGGCCACAGACAGCCCCAGCAGCUCAGCACUGCAUUCCCUCCCUGGGCUGUAACAGGCUAUUACAGUCCGAGGGAAACCCAUGGCCAGCAGGUUGCCGGCAUUUGAGGGGGCCCAAGGGGGGGCACAGUAUGAUGUACGGGGGCCAUGGCCCCCUCUGGCCCCCCCUAGCGACGCCACUGUCUGCAGGCUUCUUCGUGGUAUGAGACUAUUGCGGCCGUCUCUGCCUAAGUAUUCCUCCCUCUGAGACUUACAUGCAGUUUUGUCGUUCCUCUGGGAUUGGCCUGAUAAUCAAGACCUUUCCCUUCGUCAACUUUUGGAUAAAUUUACCCUCUUACUAUGUCUUAUUUCAUUCAGACGUGUUUCUGAUGUCCGGGCCUUCUAUGUCAGUUUUGGUGCCGUGGGACUGAUGUCUGGCGUAACGGGUAGGUCGACUUACGGUUUGUGAGUCACUUGGACACCAUCCAUGGCAAUGGAUUGAAGAAAGAAGGUGGUAGGCCGGAAAAGCCUGUGGCUGGAUUCCUGACACAGCUCAGCUUAGAAAACCUCAUGGAGUAAUCAGGUAAAAUGGCGUCUGGAUGACCUGGAAGUGGAAAUCAUUCUGAUGCUGACCUCAAGCGAUAUGAGUCAGGUAAGGGGUGUCCCUUAUAUAAGGGGAGUGAAUUAAUUUAAGCCCCUCCCACAAAUACAGGCCAAACGGCCUUAAUACUUGUAAAAUUUAUGAAUUAUUAAAUAGAGCAAUGAAUUAUAUUCAAAAUUAGUGAGUGCGGUAUCAUUUGUUGUUAUAUGUUUGUUAGGCGGUAUAUGGGCUACCUUGAUACCUUGCACCAAUACAGAUAAAAGAGUGCCUGUACAUAGAAUUAUUGUUAACUUUAUUAAUGACAGGAGGCGAAUAUAGUUUCUCCCUCCCCUUAUUCUUUGUUUUGUUUAGGCUGACCUACUUUAGUGUUGGCCUGUUUCUCCCGGGCUAUGAUAGGGCAGGUUAUUGUGUUCCUAGGGGGAGGAGAGUGUGUGUUUGGGGAAGUUGUACUAUCAGUAAUUAAUGAUGGGUAUUCAUGUUUUCACAGUACAUUUCAUUCACUAAUCAGAGUUUUUGACUCUGUUUAUCUCGUUUCAGUUUAAUGGUUUGACUACGGUUCUUAGAUCCGGAUCUUCUUUAGGAUAAAGGUCAAGGUUCAGCCACUGGAGACAUGUUACAAGUUUCUGAUGGUGGUCAUCGACUUAUUUUGUUUGAUUCCUUCUACUAUUAUUAUUGUGCUGUUUAUUGUUCAUGUACUCUAUUUUGUCGCAGCUUGAACGAGGAAAUAGUCAGUUGGGAGGGGC